GACUGGCAGAUUAUUGCAAAAGGGCACGGGGCAGAGGGACUAUGUUGUGAGCCUGCGAAAGAAGUUUGUGUGGGGACUGUGGGCAGUGAACGCGUUGGGAACAAUAUGGAAAACUGGGAGCCGCCUUGGAAUCUACAGGGCCGGAGAGACCGAGGGGCUCACUAGGUUGACCAGGCUGGUCUUGAACUCCUGGCCUCAAGCCAUCCUCCCACCUCAGCCUCCCAAAGUGCUGGGAUUACAUGCAUGAGCCACCACAUCCAGCCUACCUAAAAUAUUGAAUGCUGUUAAUAAAUCUCCUGAGGCCAGCAUAAGAAGGUGAUGGGCAAAACUAAUGCAGGAAAAGAAGGGAAAAUGGCUUACUGGUUUUAAAAAGAGACAAGGGACAACAUACCAUUUAUGCAAAAUUUAGAAGCACUCAAAGGAAACUCUGGAAAGCUCCUGAGACAUAUAUAGGGUUUCAGUUGUGCAAUUUCACCAUUAGCAAAGCUUUUUGCUGAAAUCUGGCUUUUCAAAGGGAGAGUAUCCAGAAACAGAAGAUGCUGCUCUGAGAGGCUCUUCCUAAUAGAACUGCUGCUUCAGUUUAGCUUGAAAAAGCCCACACCCAGUUCCUAAUGACAAACAUCUGAACACCGGGUCUUCCCACGAGCAAGACCAUGCUAUGCCUCCUGCUCGCUCUGUUCUAUAAGCAACCCACAGAUUGCUCCCUGUGAAGAGGAGCCUGCCAGGGGAGCAGCAUUCCACCAGACCCUGAUUUAGCAAGAUAUUUCCGUAUCAUUCCCCCAACCAGCUGGAAGUCCUCCACUGCUCUUGUGUAAAAAUCUAACUCAUCUCGCUGAAUUUCCUGAUUUAAAAGUCUAAUUCAUUUCACCAAAAGUGUGACAGAAGGAAACCAAGUACACCAUCUCUCUCUUACCAAACCGAAGCUAUUGCAUGUGCAUUCUGGGGGAAAAAAUGGUCCAAAUAUGUUAUGGAGGGGGUGCCAGCCCAGUGUCAUCCUCUUACUAUUGCCAUAGGAUCUUGGCUGAUGGCAUCAGAGGAAAAACAAGUUUAUCGAUUACUUUCAACCAUUAAGCUCACUCCUCCAUGAAAAAUAAGUCACAAGUCCAAUGUCUCUUAUUAAAAUAAGCACUGCAAAAUACAAAGGAGUCACAGUUUUAAAAUGGGACACACGUUCUCUAAGCGGUGAACCACGUUAGAGGUGCACUGUUUACAUUGUAUAAAGUCCCCUGGAGCCAGGGUUAGGAAGCGCAUCUGUUCUUUGGUGUUCUGGGAUGAAGGAGAAAGGAAAAUGUGCUGCCAGAAGUGAGUGGGAAGGAGCCCAUGAGAUAAAGGAAGUAAAUCCAUUUGCUGAUUGCAAUAAUAAUGGUCAUCCUCCGAAUGAAUUUAUAUUACCGAGUGG
rnacentral:lncRNA from 1 species